UACAGAGAGGGCAAGCGUUGUCCGGAAUGAUUGGGCGUAAAGCGUCUGUAGGUGGCUCGUAAAGUCUAAUGUUAAAUCCCAGGGCUUAACCUUGGAAAAGCAUUGGAGGACUCACGGGCUUGAGUACGGUAGAGGUAGAGGGAACCCCUUGUGGAACGAUGAAAUGUGUAGAUAUAAGGGAGAACACCAGCGGCGAAGGCGCUCUACUGGGCCUGUACUGACACUGAGAGACGAAAGCUGGGGGAGCAAAUAGG
rnacentral:rRNA from 1 species